rnacentral:lncRNA from 1 species
GGGUGCCAAGGAAAAGAACGAAGGAACUGACUCAGUGCUGACGUAGCUGUAAAUAAAUCACUUUCUUAGGGGAAAUAGCACAGAAGGGUACAAAUACUUCUUAAGCCAACCUGACUUAAGCCAUCCUAGGUCUGCAGAUGUUGGAGAUGCUUGAAGCAUGGUUAUAGAUAGAUCUCAGCAUCAGAGAGUGACUCAGCUCUUCCUCAUUUUAGUUAGAGCAGCAUAACCAGGCCACCUGGAUCUUUCACCAUAUAAAGAACUAAUAACACAGCACGCUACAGGAAAAAAAAAAUGACAUGCUAAUGCUUAUGAGGUGUGGAAGCAAAAAUAACUAGUGUGUUCUCAAUUAGUUGAAACCCUACAGUUAAUUUGCACAUCCCACUGGAUUGAGACAUAUAAAAGUUCUACUACCAGUAACGAAUUGCCAACUCCCUGGUAAACUGAUGAAGCAGUGCGUGUAAUAUUAACCAGCUUGGACAGUUUGAAUCCUCUCCAUUGACAUGCUUUUAGAAGCAGGUAGCCUUGGGAUGAGCAAACACAAGCUACAGCAAAAUAAAAUUAUUCAGAGCAAUAGAAACUGCAAUCUGCAUGUAAGAGAUAUCUUCUUUGUGUUCUCCAUCACUGGACCUUGUCUGGAGUCUCCUGACUGUGAGAUCGACAGCCAAACAAUUGAGGCAACGUAUUGGUUGUUUAUAGGUGAGAAUUCUUUCAGAACUGAAGGACUUAUUUACUAAAGUUCAGAGACAACUAGGGAGCUAAAGGAGUAAGUAUCAGAUAGUCAAAAAUAUCUCCAUCCUAGCUCUGUCGUGGUACCAGAUGCUUUGUUUAUAGCUGCCCAUUUAGAGCUGUAGUGAGUCAUCAGUGAGCUGUCCUGUGUUCCCUCACUUACAGUAAACAUGCUGUUUAUAGCACAUUAUUUUAUCCAGGUGCUUUCUGACUUUCUCUAAAGCCUUUUUACUAGUGUCUUGGCACACUCUUCAUGAUGUCUCUUCAAAAGAUUUUGCUUUCACCAAACAGGAGAGUCAGGUUUAUAUUCCUUUGGAACUCCAUGUUCACUUUUACUGUUGUUGUUUUUAUUUUUCAUCUAAGGUGUUAACUUGUCUUGUUAAUCUGUGGAGAUGAGACUAUUAAUCACUGUUGCAGAAGCUCAACACUCCAAUAUGUAUACUGACAUUUAUGUGCUCACAUGAAAUCAAUAUAAAAUGCUAUUUCUUCCCGGAAAAUGAUGUAUCUGGACUGCUCUGACCCUGACUCAUCUGUGCAUGGAAGUAGCUAGUCUUUCUAUGCCUGCAUGUAUCCCAGGAGCUCUCCUUUGCUGUAGAAGGCACUGCCACCAUCAAGAAGAGUGGUACAUGCAAGUUAAGAAUCCAAUGGCUGUUGCUCUAGUGCCAUCUGUCUCCUGCUGCUUGGCAUAGCUCUUAGUGUUUCAGUU